CGGACGGGUGAGUAAUGUAUGGGGAUCUGCCUGAUGGCGGGGGAUAACUACUAGAAACGGUAGCUAAUACCGCAUAAUGUCUACGGACCAAAGCGGGGGACCUCCGGGCCUCGCGCCAUCAGAUGAACCCAUAUGGGAUUAGCUAGUAGGUAAGGUAACGGCUUACCUAGGCGACGAUCCCUAGCUGGUCUGAGAGGAUGAUCAGCCACACUGGGACUGAGACACGGCCCAG
rnacentral:rRNA from 1 species